rnacentral:misc_RNA from 1 species
AAGUCGUAACAAGGUUUCCGUAGGUGAACCUGCGGAAGGAUCAUUAACACGUAUCCAACGUUAAACCCCCCCCGUGAACGUACAAUCUGUUGCUUCUCCGGUAACGCGAAACAAUGGUUGCAAUCCCUGGUAAAUCAUCGCCAAACAGUUUUGAUUCGGGACCUCUGUCCAAAAGGAGUUGCAAUCGAAGGGUGGAAGCAGUGGCAUGGCUUCCCCAAGCAGUUAGUGAAUGACAGUGUCACUGACUGUGUAAGGAUAACGCCUCACGGUUGCUAGAGGUCGAUCACCGACCGGCAGACAUGUCACAGGGUCACCACGCCCCUUAAUCACUCCACUUGAAAAUGCCCCGCCUAGUGGUAACGCGCUAGGUAAAAAAAACCGAACAACUGUUAACAAUGGAUAUCUUGGUUCUC